UGUCCAGUAGCACCUUAGAGACCAACUAAGUUUGUUCCUGGUAUGAGCUUUCGUAUGCAAGCUCAUACCAGGAACAAACUUAGUUGGUCUCUAAGGUGCUACUGGACA